GGGGCUGAUUCUGGAUUCGACGGGAUUUGCGAAGCCCAAGGAGCAUGCCGAGGGGCGGUUGGCCUCGUAAAAAGCCGCAAAAAAAUAGUCGCAAACGACGAAAACUACGCACUAGCAGCUUAAUAACCUGCUCAGAGCCCUCUCUCCCUAGCCUCCGCUCUUAGGACGGGGAUCAAGAGAGGUCAAACCCAAAAGAGAUCGUGUGGAUACCCUGCCUGGGGUUGAAGCAUUAAAUUUAAUCAGGCUAGUUUGUUAGUGGCGUGUCCAUCCGCAGCUGACAAGCGAAUGUAAAGAUUGGACUAAGCAUGUAGUGCCGACGGUGUAGUAAUUUCGGACGCGGGUUCAACUCCCGCCAGCUCCACCA
rfam:Tatumella ptyseos ATCC 33301 GTPT.assembly.024, whole genome shotgun sequence.